rnacentral:sRNA from 1 species
CUCUGGAGUACCCUGAGCGAAGUUCGCCCU